rnacentral:tRNA from 1 species
UUUAGCUCAGCGGUGAGAGCGAGCGACUCAUAAUCGCCAGGUCGCUGGUUCAAAUCCAGUACAACGCGCCA